rnacentral:lncRNA from 1 species
CACCUUCUCUCACAUAGAAUUAUUAUUUCUACUAAAUAUAUAAAAAGACGAUGGGUCAUUCCUUACAUAAAAUUAUGAACAAAAUUAAUGUUAAAAAAUAGGCAAAAAUUUAGGGGAGGACCAAAAGUGCACCAAUAUUGCGAACAUGAGGGACUAUUAGUGCUCCAUGUGAAAACUCAAGGAUGACUUUAAGUCUUAACCCAAAGAUGAGGGGCUAUUUUGGGUCUUCUCUCUCUACUUUCUCAUAUCUAAUUUGCAUAACAUCGUGCAUCUUUCCAGUGACUACUUUCUCUUAACACAAAGAGUUUUCCAGCAAUAUUUUUUUUGCUUUUAGAUUCACUUUUUGCCAAAAGGCUAUACUCAAAUAUUUGGGUUGGAUUACAGUGAUACUUUCUUCACUGUGAUCUCGAUGAGGUAGUCUAUAUGGAGCAACCACUUGGAUUUGCUACUUAGGGGGAGUUUAGUAGCCUAUUAUGUCGAUUGCUAGUGGAGUUGAUAAUUUUUUGCAUCAAAUUCAGUAUUUCAUGAGAGACCUCGUAUUGAGAUUGAUUGUCAUUUUGUCAAAGAAAAGAUACUCUCGAGAGAUAUUGUUACAAAAUUUAUGAAGUCAAUUGAUCAACUUGCAGAUAUCUUUACCAAGUCCCUCACCGAUCCCCAUAUUAAUUACAUCUGUAACAAGCAAGGUGCAUAUGAUUUGUAUGCACCAGCUCGAAGGGAGUGUUAGAAUUCUCAUAUCUAAUUUGCAUAACAUCGUGCAUCUUUCCAUUGACUACUUUCUCUUAACCGAUUUGUGUAGCAUCGUGCAUCUUUUAGGUGACUCAGAUCUUAUUUACGUAGUUUCAACUUUUGUCAAUGUUGUGCGAAAUCCAAGAGAUCUGAG